AUCCAUCUUAUCAGAAUCAUUCUCAAUUAAUUCAUCCAAUAUUUCAAUUGUCUGCAACCAUGGUUUACAAAAAUGAUUAUAAAAAUUACUAAUCUUAUCCAUGUCACUUGAGAAGGAAACACAAAAAUCAGAUACUCACAAAUCCCCACCCGCUUUCUGUGAACUCUUGGUCAACAAGAGGUGUACCUAUUAGAUAUUAGGCCAGAAACAGAACGCAAAAUUUCACCACUUUGCUCUGCUAAUUCAGACCUGAAUAUGAAAACACGUCCAAAGAUUAAUAAAAGAAAACAGAAACUAGAUGAAUCGAAUCUAAACUAACACGAAAAAUGGUGAGAUCUCCAUCAUCGUCAUACUCUUUAGCGCCGCCUCUCUUUCCCUUUCUCUGUCCCUCUUCGUCAUCUUCUUCUUCAGGCUCUUCUUCCUCCGCUUGUCGCGCUGCUUCGGCUUUGGAUUGCAGGUCUGCGAGGUAGGAUUCGACAACUUUCCUGACGAAUUGCUUGCACUCUGGUGGGGAGAGGUCGAGCCCUAGAUUAACUUCCAGAAAGGAAAAAAGAGGUCGAGCACGGAGCACUAGCUUAAGU
rnacentral:lncRNA from 1 species